rnacentral:rRNA from 1 species
GAUGAACGCUGGCGGCGUGCCUAAUACAUGCAAGUCGAGCGAACAGACGAGGAACUUGCUCCACUUAGGUUAGCGGCGAACGGGUGAGUAACACGUGGGGAACCUGCCUAUAAGACGGGGAUAACUUCGGGAAACGGAAGCUAAUACCGCAUAAUAUAUUUAAACACAUGGUUCAAGAUUGAAAGACGGAUUUGCUUUCCCUUAUAAAGAUACCCCCCCGUCUUAACUAGUUGGGAAGGUAAAGGCCUACCAAGGGCAAGAUCAGUAGCCGACCUGAGAGGGUGAUCGGCCACACUGGACCGGAGACCCGCUCCAGACCCCUACGGGAGGCACCAGAAGGGAACUUUGGGCAAUGGGGGAAAGCUUGACGGAGAACGGCGCCGUGGGUGAGGAAGGUCUCCGGACCGUAAACUUCUUUUAUUAGGAAGGACGAUAUGGGUAAGUAACUGCGCACCUAGUGACGGUAACUACUCAGAAAGCGACGGCUAACUACGUG